rnacentral:rRNA from 1 species
AUUGAACGCUGGCGGAAUGCUUUACACAUGCAAGUCGAACGGCAGCACGGACUUCGGUCUGGUGGCGAGUGGCGAACGGGUGAGUAAUAUAUCGGAGCGUGCCCAGUCGUGGGGGAUAACGUAGCGAAAGCUACGCUAAUACCGCAUACGAUCUACGGAUGAAAGCGGGGGAUCGCAAGACCUCGCGCGAUUGGAGCGGCCGAUAUCAGAUUAGGUAGUUGGUGAGGUAAAGGCUCACCAAGCCGACGAGCUGUAGCUGGUCUGAGAGGACGACCAGCCACACUGGGACUGAGACACGGCCCAGACUCCUACGGGAGGCAGCAGUGGGGAAUUUUGGACAAUGGACGCAAGUCUGAUCCAGCCAUUCCGCGUGCAGGACGAAGGCCUUCGGGUUGUAAACUGCUUUUGUACAGAACGAAAAGGUCUCUAUUAAUACUAGGGGCUCAUGACGGUACUGUAAGAAUAAGCACCGGCUAACUACGUGCCAGCCGCCGCCGUAA